rnacentral:rRNA from 1 species
GGCAGCAGUAGGGAAUCUUCCGCAAUGGACGAAAGUCUGACGGAGCAACGCCGCGUGAGUGAUGAAGGUUUUCGGAUCGUAAAGCUCUGUUGUUAGGGAAGAACAAGUACCGUUCGAAUAGGGCGGUACCUUGACGGUACCUAACCAGAAAGCCACGGCUAACUACGUGCCAGCAGCCGCGGUAAUACGUAGGUGGCAAGCGUUGUCCGGAAUUAUUGGGCGUAAAGGGCUCGCAGGCGGUUUCUUAAGUCUGAUGUGAAAGCCCCCGGCUCAACCGGGGAGGGUCAUUGGAAACUGGGGAACUUGAGUGCAGAAGAGGAGAGUGGAAUUCCACGUGUAGCGGUGAAAUGCGUAGAGAUGUGGAGGAACACCAGUGGCGAAGGCGACUCUCUGGUCUGUAACUGACGCUGAGGAGCGAAAGCGUGGGGAGCGAACAGGAUUAGAUACCCUGGUAGUCCACGCCGUAAACGAUGAGUGCUAAGUGUUAGGGGUUCCGCC